rnacentral:rRNA from 1 species
AGGACGAACGCUGGCGGCGUGCCUAACACAUGCAAGUCGAACGAGGUCCAACCGGUAGCAAUACCGGUGAAGAUCAAGUGGCGAACGGGUGAGUAGCACGUGAGCAACCUACCCCGAAGACCGGGACAACACCGGGAAACCGGUGCUAAUACCGGAUAUCCCCUCCGAGUCGCAUGGCUUGGUGAGGAAAUGGAUUCCGCUUCGGGAGGGGCUCGCGGCCUAUCAGCUUGUUGGUGAGGUAACGGCUCACCAAGGCUUCGACGGGUAGCUGGUCUGAGAGGACGAUCAGCCACACUGGGACUGAGACACGGCCCAGACUCCUACGGGAGGCAGCAGUGGGGAAUCUUGCACAAUGGGCGAAAGCCUGAUGCAGCAACGCCGCGUGAGGGACGAAGGCUUUCUGAGUUGUAAACCUCUUUCAGCAGGGACGAUGAUGACGGUACCUGCAGAGAGCCCGGCAACUACGUGCCAGCAGCCGC